AGUGAACGCUGGCGGUAGGCCUAACACAUGCAAGUCGAACGGCAGCACAGUAAGAGCUUGCUCUUACGGGUGGCGAGUGGCGGACGGGUGAGGAAUACAUCGGAAUCUACUUUUUCGUGGGGGAUAACGUAGGGAAACUUACGCUAAUACCCAUACGACCUACGGGUGAAAGCAGGGGAUCUUCGGACCUUGCGCGAUUGAAUGAGCCGAUGUCGGAUUAGCUAGUUGGCGGGGUAAAGGCCCACCAAGGCGACGAUCCGUAGCUGGUCUGAGAGGAUGAUCAGCCACACUGGAACUGAGACACGGUCCAGACUCCUACGGGAGGCAGCAGUGGGGAAUAUUGGACAAUGGGCGCAAGCCUGAUCCAGCCAUACCGCGUGGGUGAAGAAGGCCUUCGGGUUGUAAAGCCCUUUUGUUGGGAAAGAAAAGCAGCAGGUUAAUACCCCGCUGUUCUGACGGUACCCAAAGAAUAAGCACCGGCUAACUUCGUG
rnacentral:rRNA from 1 species